rnacentral:rRNA from 1 species
UACGUAGGGAGCAAGCGUUGUUCGGAUUUACUGGGCGUAAAGGGCGUGUAGGCGGCAUAUUAAGUCAGCUGUGAAAUCUCCGAGCUUAACUCGGAACUGUCAGCUGAUACUGAUGUGCUUGAGUGCGGAAGGGGCAAUCGGAAUUCUUGGUGUAGCGGUGAAAUGCGUAGAUAUCAAGAGGAACACCUGAGGUGAAGACGGGUUGCUGGGCCGACACUGACGCUGAGUGCGCGAAAGCCAGGGGAGCAAACGGG